rnacentral:lncRNA from 10 species
ACAGGCUCAUAGGCAGAAGAGACUUGCCUUGUUUCAGAUGAGACUUUGGAUUGCAGACUUUUGAGGCCUGGCAGCUGUGGCGACUGAAUCUAAGAAGAAAGGCUGAUAAUGCUCUGGCUGGUUUCAUAAUAGGACUUUUCAAGGCACUGUCCCAUCCAUUAACUCAUUUGAAAUGAAAGGUAGGGUUUUCUUUUUUCCCCCCAUUAGGAAAGAUACUUACAUGUUUUAUUCAAAAUUCUUUUAAGCCACCACCAAAGAAGAGAAAGAAAUUAACAUAAUAACUCUCCGGGUGGUUCCCUGUUUACAAAGUAAGUUUAACUUUUACUUUGUUUUCCUUCAGAGCCCUAAAUUCAACUCCUACUUUAUUCCAUAUUUCCAUUUUCAGUCAUCCUUGAUGCCUGAAAUGAUUUAGUUGAUGCCAUAUUGAUUUCGUUCUUGUUUGCUUCCUCAAAAUGUUUCUCAUUUUUCUGUCCCCUUGGCUCAUUUCUAAGUGUGUUUUCUAAUGUCCAUAUCCUGCACAAUUGCCAGCAGCACCAUGACCUAGGGAGGACCCUCAUUAUGAACUGCAUUCUACAGGAAAAAAGACGCACGUCCCCUUCAAAUGAUGUGGCUUGCCCCAUGGAAAACAGAGUUGGUGUCUGAGUCAGGUUUGCUUCCCCAGAGCUCCAGGGCCAUUGCUAUUGUCCUCUUUCCUGCACGCUUCCUCAUUUGCAAAACAAUGUGAAUUCUGUUCUUGCCCUUAUAAUUAAAGGAAAAAUGAGGAUGAUCAAGAGUGGUUGCUUCAGGGACCUUCCACACUGCUAAGGCCACCUCUAUUUUUCCAGACUCCAGCUUUUUUUAACAGAUGAAGAAACCGAGCCACACAGAGGUUAAAUAACUUGCCCAAGGGUGCACAACUACUAGUAGUAUUGAGUCUAUACGCUUAAGUAUUGUGCUAUUCCAUUUCUUACUGAAUACAAAGCAAAAAAACAUAAGGAUCAGAGGAGGAGUGUGAGUGUCCUCAUACUCACAGCAAAAGGAGGGAAUUCAGGAGAGGAUUGAAGAAGCGGUUCCUGUUUUUGAGGCAUUUGCAAUCAUUGCUGGAGAGACAGAACCAACAGAUGGGGAACAAUGGUCAGGGACUCCAGGCCUGAUUUAAGCCAAUGCCGCCCUGUGGUCUUUACCCACGAAUGGUGUGGAAAAUGAGAGCAGGGAAGAGGAUUUACUCACUGGCUGUGGAGUUAGGUCAGAAGGGGGAUGGAAAGAAGGAACCGGAUGGCUUUGGGGACAUUUCUUAAUCUUUAGGCUUCACCUUCCUUAACUGAAAAUAAAGCCAUAAGUUACCUCCAGAACUCUUUCAGCCUUAACAUUCAAUGAAUCUCGAUCUUUUCUGUAAAGCUAGAUUUUUAUGUGUGGUAUUUGCUAAAAGUUGGGGCGCACCCUUACUUGAUCUGGCCCAGACUAUAGAUCACAUGAAGAUCACAUUAAAUCAGGUCGAAAGACUUUUCUGACUUCAAAUUAGCGAAUAUGCAUAUGUGCUGAACUUUAGUCUUUUCCUUUUCUUGAACAUUCAGUUUAAUAAUUGUCUCUGCCAUUUUACACAUUUAUUUUUCUUGGCUAUUUAUAUUUUCCUUUUGGGGAGGUCAAAUAUAAAAAUAGGAUAUACAUGGACUGUAGCAGUUGAUAAUAACUUGUGUGCUUUGAUUUUUUAAAGAACCAAAAUUUACCAAAAGGGAUCUUGCUCACUUAUCAAUUUGUUUUUUUUAUAUCUCUGUUUUUGUACAUAUCUUUUAAGUUAUUCCAGACCCUGACAACUGGACACCUGGUUAUGAUUGCAGAAUGUGCAGUUUAAAAUCCUAUUUUAAAACUUAGUUUUUGUUUUUCUUUUUGAGACAGGGUCUCAUUCUGUCAUCCAGGCUGGAGUGCAGUGGUGCAAUCACGGCUCACUGCAGCCUUAACCUCCUGGGCUCAAGCAAUCCUUCUACCUCAGCCUC